AAAUUGGAGGAGUUUGAAUUUUGUAACAGAAGUCACGUAUAGUUACGUGACUUCUGUUACAAAAUUCAAACUCUUCCAAUUUUACUUUAUA